UCUCUUUUCUUCCCUUCCUUCUCCCCUCUCUCUGCGCCUCCCCUGAUUUCGAGUUCCCACUCCUCAUGUCUCCCUCCCCCAAAACCGACGCGACGAUGAUGUCGACGUGGUGCUUCCGCGGCGAUCGUCCCACCCUCACGGGCCUCCGCCUCCGCCGCAUCGUUUCCUUCCUCCGCCGUCACCGCCUUUACGACACCACCCACGCGUAUGAUCUCUGUCUCAACCCCCAUUGUUUCGUUUCUGAUGGAUGACGCAUCCAACGAUUUUGCAGGCUGGAGAGGCAGACGGGCGCCUUCUUCGACGCCGCGCACUUCCGCCGCCUCCUGCGCGACCUCCGCUGGGCCGACGCAUCCUCAUACGUGCUCGGCUUCAUCGCCGUCCGCGACUGCAGCCGCGAGGCCGACAUGCUCGUCGUCCGCAUCCUCAUCCUGCGCGACAUGGCCGACCUCGCCGCCGGCUGGACCCAGGACAUCGACGCCCUCUUCCGGCGCCUCUACGCCUCCCUCCAAUCCCACCCCGACGGGGCAGUUCGUGUCUUCCGUGAAGAGAUUUAGCUGCCACCACCUCCGCAGGACCCUACUCUCCAUGCGCUCCGACCGAGCCAGCUGCACUCGUCAAUUUGCUACCACUAGUUACCUGCAGCAACUAUUUCGAAAAAAACAAGGGCAUCCAGGCUCUAUCAUCGCGUCAAGCCCAUGGCAGUAGAGGUCAUUUUGAACAUGGCUGCCAAGUGCCCUGAGCUCAAAGCCAAGGCACAGUUACCGCCUACAUCUUAUCACUUGGUCCUAGCCCAGAGAUGCAUCAGCAUGAGUUGUCAGCGGUGGUGCAGAGCUAUAUGCGCGGCAAUGGCCUGAUUUGACCCCAAAGCUCCAAAAGCAGGGUUUCAUGCUUGUGCAUGCAUGCGAGACCUGAAUUGUAUCCCCCCCCCCCCCUCCAGGGUCAUAUGCGUUAAAUGUUUUUGCAAGCUGUGUAAAACUAGCCUCGGUCACAUCAUUAGUCAGUACUGCUAAAGACGUAAUAUUGGUUAAUACAAAAUCUGUAGGUUUUUUCAGUAGCA